UACGGAGGGUGCAAGCGUUAAUCGGAAUGACUGGGCGUAAAGGGUGUGUAGGCGGUAUGUUAAGCUUGCUGUUAAAUUCUCCGGCCUAACUGGAGACAUGCAGUGAGAACUGGCGAACUUGAGGAUGAGAGAGAGAAGUGGAAUUCCCGGAGUAGCGGUAAAAUGCGUAGAUCUCGGGAGGAACACCGAUGGCGAAGGCAGCUUCUUGGCUCAUUCCUGACGCUGAAACACGAAAGCCAGGGGAGCGAACGGG
rnacentral:rRNA from 1 species